rnacentral:rRNA from 1 species
CAACGCCGCGGUGGGGGAGUGAAGCUUCUCGGAGUGUAAACCCCUUUCGACCCGGAAGAAUGCCCGCAAGGGUUUGACGGUACGGGUAUAAGAAGCCCCGGCUAACUACGUGC